rnacentral:misc_RNA from 1 species
GAAAUGCGAUAAGUAAUGUGAAUUGCAGAAUUCAGUGAAUCAUCGAAUCUUUGAACGCACAUUGCGCCCGCCAGUAUUCUGGCGGGCAUGCCUGUCCGAGCGUCAUUUCAACCAUCAAGCCCCCGGGCUUGUGUUGGGGACCUGCGGCUGCCCGCAGGCCCUGAAAACCAGUGGCGGGCUCGCUGUCACACCGAGCGUAGUAGCAAUCACCUCGCUCGGGGCGUGCUACGGGUUCCGGCCGUUAAACAGCCUUACAAAACCCAAGGUUGACCUCGAAUCAGGUAGGAAUACCCGCUGAACUUAAGC